ensembl:antisense Gm15619 predicted gene 15619
CCUGCUCUCAAGUCUGGGCCCCAUCCUGGCUCAUGAGACCCUAAACACUGACCAUGUUUUCCUUUACCAUUUAUUUUGACCAUAAGCACUCCCCCCAACCCCCAGUGCCAACCUUGGCUUCCCAUUAAAAUCACUGAGAGAUUUUUCAAAAUCCUGUUGCCGAGCUACAAUAUCCUGGCCAAAUAAGUGAAAUUACCAGAAGUGGAUCUCAGGCGGAUUGAAAGGUAUUUUUAGAGAGGAGAGUCUCACCUCACAGUAUUCCGUGAUAAUGCAAAAAGUCUCCUGCUCCAUGAAGCUUGCAUGGAAUCUGACAAUAGCAGGAUGAUGGAGCCUGGAGAGGAGCUGAGCUUCCACAUUGGCCUGCACGGUCUCAUUUGCAUUUAAUUCGCCAACAGAGAUUUCCUUCAGUACCUUUCUGUAGCCAAAAACAAUAGAAAGCAAAGGAAGAAAAGAAAAAGAAAGAAGAGGAGAAGAAAGAAAGACAUCAAGAGUUGAGAAGUCUGUUUCUCUGUUGUAAGGACGUGGUACAGAACCCCUCACCAUGCCCAGGAAAUAAUCAGCUGCUCCAGGGCCUAGUUCUGCCUGCUCUGGGUCUGAAGCCCUGGGUCCCUGCCUGUCCCACCCAGUACCAUGGUGCUCCACAGCCUCUGAACGCCA